UCCAGACUCCUACGGGAGGCAGCAGUGGGGAAUAUUGCACAAUGGGGGAAACCCUGAUGCAGCGACGCCGCGUGAGCGAAGAAGUACCUCGGUAUGUAAAGCUCUAUCAGCAGGGAAGAAGAUGACGGUACCUGACCAAGAAGCUCCGGCUAAAUACGUGCCAGCAGCCGCGGUAAUACGUAUGGAGCAAGCGUUAUCCGGAUUUACUGGGUGUAAAGGGAGCGUAGACGGUCCUGCAAGCCAGAUGUGAAAGCCCGGGGCUCAACCCCGGGACUGCAUUUGGAACUGUAAGGCUAGAGUGUCGGAGAGGCAGGCGGAAUUCCUAGUGUAGCGGUGAAAUGCGUAGAUAUUAGGAGGAACACCAGUGGCGAAGGCGGCCUGCUGGACGAUGACUGACGUUGAGGCUCGAAAGCGUGGGGAGCAAACAGGAUUAGAUACCCGAGUAA
rnacentral:rRNA from 1 species